UGGUUACUUUUAGACCUUACCAUUUUUGUGUAUUGGAUGUAGAUGGAACGGUCUGAAUAUGUCCGAUGAUAAGUGUUGAGUGUUGAAUGACGACGUACCACCAUCACCAACUCCCAUUUAAUAGUAAAGAUUUUGGUAUUGCUGUAAGGUUGUGGCUGGUUGCACUUCUAUUAGCUGAUUUGGACUUGAAUGAUCAAACUUGGGUAAGCUCUUUCGUGAUUCGACACAAUGCUGGCUAAGAUGAAUUCUGCUCUGUUGCCUUGUAUGAGAUGCAAAUGCUGAUGCUUAUCGAAAGAUGCAUUUCCUUUUUUUUUGUAGUGCUCUAAACCAUCGCCUACUUGUUGCCUGACUUGGGAACUGUGUAUCACCACUGAAACCAACCCUAAACUUGACCUUUAAAUUAAAUGAACAAGUAGUUAAGUGAUUGACAUUGUCUAUGAAAUCUGAAUUCUACGACUUGAUCAUGUGGCCAGGAUAUGGUUCUUGAUGCUGGUUUCUGAUUUACUUGGUGUUUAUACUAGCUGUCACUUCUUAGUCAAUGUUAUCCACAUGUUGCUUUAUUUUUGGUAUGCCCAUUGGGUUUUUGUCUCGGCUGGGCUAUGUGCUGUGCGUCGGCUUUGAGGGCUGAAAUAGAUUGUAAGAUGUGUCUUUCAAAUUAACUUGUGUGCUUGGUUUGGUCGACUUAAUCAACCUCAACCUUAAACCUGGCUUGUAUUCAAUGUUUGCUGAAUCUGGAGCUUGACUUGUUUCUUAAACCAGAUUUCUAUUUAGUGUUGAGCUUCUAUUUACUGGUUGCACUUGUUGGUCUAGUAGAUAAAAGUGAUUAAUCUUUUGUGAUUCAACACAAUAGUGCCUUAUAUAUAGGGAUAAAUUGCUGGUGUUUUGUGUUUGAAAUGCAUGUCCUGCUGCUUAUUUAUCUGGCUAGCUAGUUUGUUUAUGAUGCCACGUUGGCACGUAAACGGCUUCAAAUCCAUCAGCCUGGUAGCGUUUGUGCUCCUGCAAAUUGCUUCAGCAAGUGCUUAUCUAAACCAGUAAUGUUCCUUGUGUUCAUCGCUAGAUAGAGUAUUUCCAGAUUAUUGAGAUUUGAUCCGCUAUGCUACUGUUUCAUUACAGGUUCGUUUUUGGAUAAAUUCGGUGCUUUUGGAGAAUGAGAUGCUUGUGUGGACUAGAAGGAACAAGGGCUUGACAUUCCUCGCUCGCCGACUGUCUAUGCGGCUCAUUGCCUCCGGCUGCUUGGGUGCCCAAGUUCUCGCAGCAGUGCUUUGGUUGCGGCCUAUAUAAUAUUUUGGUCCUGGUAAUGUCAAGUAGCAGUUGGCAUGGUGGUAGCAUCGUUCUUGUGAUGCUCCAGGUUCAGGCGCUGUAAUGGCUUAGUAGUAUUUCUGAUGUGUCUUGUUUGGGGCCCUGUUUGACUUUUGGGGAUGAUGACUGGCUACCUUGGUUCCGGCUUUGCUUUUAUUCUAAUUGUAAAGAAAAGGGUCUCGCGAUGAUGGAUCGAUGUUGUUGUAUCAGUUCAUCAUCGGAUAUUGAUCUGUUCAUAAUAUUAUUGGCAAGCGAGUAUUCAUCUUGUGGCAAUCUAAUACUCCCUCCGUCCCAAAAUAAGUGACUCAACUUUGCACUA
rnacentral:lncRNA from 1 species